UAAAAGACUGGGAAAGUUGGUGAAUACUCAAAGAACACGUAAUUGGAAACAGGUGAGUGUCAUGAUUGGGUAUAAAAGGAGCGUCCCCAAAAGGAUCAGCCGUUCACAAAGAAAGAUGUGGCGCGGAUCACCACUUUGUGAACAACUGCAUGAAAAAAUAAGCAUCAAUGUGUAAAAA